UUUCCUGUGGAGCCUGAUGAAAACAGGGGACCACAACUACGGAGAGGCUAUUUGGGAAUAAUUUACCAGGGAAGGAGUGAAGGGGAAAGAGUCAGCAAGGAUAUGGCCUAGGAAAAGUGGACCCUUGGCCUGAUUCACUGGCACCUCUGGCAUAAAACACUCAAGAGCACUUUCCCCUUGGAAGAGGGGAGGGCAGAAGAGACUGGAGAAGGGGCAGCUGUGAGCUCUUAGGAGGCAAUAGCAAGCGAUACUCACAGCUGGGGUGGCGUGCACAGGCCCAGUAAAGAGAAUGGAGGUGGGGCACCAAAUCACAUCUAUGACAAACAGGCCAUACAUUUUUUUGUGAAGAGCUUUCUAACAAAAAGACAUGUAAAUGUGCAUUAUGAACAAAUGACCCCAGACAGUUGCUUUCUCCAUCUUUGUUGAACCCCUGUGGACUUUACUUUGCACAGCAAAAGAAACUACCAUCAGAGUGAACAGGCAACCUAC
rnacentral:lncRNA from 10 species